UGUUUUCACAUUCAUUUGAUUUCGGCAAUCCCCAAAUUCAAAUUCCGUCACAAAAAAUAGUAACGAAUAAUAAAACCUUAUAAUUUAUUCCUUGUAUGACGAGAGCAGAAAAGUAUCACGUAAGCCAUCUCAAUUUCCCGUUAUAAUGAAUCUCCGCAGUUAAAAAUAUAAAUUGUCGAUUGAUUUUCUGAAGACGAAAUCCGAGGAUGAACAAGAGAAGCAGUAACUGCGCCAUCUGCGAGAAUUCGAAUCGCGCCUCUAUUUGUGCAGUUUGUGUCAAUAACAGGUUAAAUGACUGCAACACUUUGUUGAAAUCAUUAAAGAGUCGUCGGGAUGCAUUAUUUUUGAAAUUGACUGACGUUCUUGUGACAAAGGGGAAGACGGAUGAUCAAUUAAAUUGGAGAGUGCUUCAGAAUGAGAAGCUUGUGAAUUUGAGAGAGAAGCUACGGCUUAGUAAGGAGCAACUCGCACAAGGCGAGUCACAGAUUGAGAAGAGGUCUUAUGAUUUAAAAGCUAAAUAUGUUGUACUUGAAUCAGCUCGUUCUAUGCUGGAUAAAAAUCGUGCAGAACAACUACAGAAGUUCUAUCCUAACCUUAUUUGCACUCAGAGUUUGGGGCAUAUGGCAAUUCUCUCUGAACUUCUGCAUAAACAGUCUGUGGUUAUAAAACAGAUUUGCAAAUUGUUCCCACAACGCCGGGUGACUAAAGAUUCAGAAGUAAGAGAUGGUCUCAGUGGUCAAUAUGAUCAGAUUUGCUGUGCACGAUUGCCAAGAGGACUUGACCCACACUCUGUUCCAUCAGAAGAGCUAGCUGCCUCUUUGGGACACAUGGUGCAACUUCUAAAUCUUGUUGUUCAGAAUUUGGCAGUUCCUGUCCUUCAUAACUCAGGUUUUGCGGGUUCUUGCUCAAGAAUAUGGCAAAGGGAUUCUUAUUGGAAUGCACGCCCAUCCUCUCGAAGCAAUGAAUAUCCCCUUUUCAUUCCUCGCCAAAAUUACUGUUCUACUAGUGGAGAAGCAUGGGAUAAAAGUUCAAGUAAUUUCGGUGUUGCAUCAAUGGAAUCUGAGAAAAGGCCCAACCUUGAUUGUUCUAGAAGUGGUAGCUUCAAUUAUUCUGCUGCAUCCCCACAUUCUGUUGAAACACACAAGGACUUGCAGAAAGGGAUUUCUCUUCUCAAGAAAAGUGUGGCAUGCAUAACAGCUUACUGUUACAACUCACUCUGUCUAGAUGCUCCUGCAGAAGCAUCUACUUUUGAAGCUUUUGCAAAGUUAUUGGGAACACUGUCUUCAUCUAAGGAAAUUCGAUCUGUUUUUUCCUUGAAAAUGGCUUGUUCAAGGUCAUGUAAACAAGUUCAACAACUAAACAAAUCUGUGUGGAAUAUGAAUUCUGCUAUUUCAUCGACCACUUUACUGGAGAGUGCACAUAUGUUGCCCAUACUACUGGAAAACUUAGUGAUAAUAAUCUCCCAAGUUCGGUGGCCAGUUAUCUUUAUGCAACUGAAAUAUCUGAUGUUGGGAAAAAUGAAAGUAUUAUUGAAGGAUGGGAUAUUGUCGAGCAUCCAACUUUUCCUCCUCCACCUUCACAAACUGAGGAUGUUGAGCAUUGGACUCGAGCCAUGUUUAUUGAUGCCACAAAGAAAUGAUCCGCCCCACCAAUCUCCUACAUUUUGUCACUAGGCUGGCAGAGGAAGCACUUACUAGAGCGGAGGCUAUUUGGAACCUUGGAGAGUUAACUUAUGGCUUCAUGUAAUAGAUAUGAUCAAUAGGGAUUGUGGUUAGAGAGGAUGAAGGAAACGGUAAACGUUUUCCUCGGUAACAUCAUUAAAUAAGCUUGUGAAGAUGGAAGGGGGAAGCAAGAAAGGUGUUGUCUUCAACACCUCUUCUCUUUCCCGCAACCACUCUGUCCCGUCAC